rnacentral:rRNA from 1 species
UACGUAGGUGGCAAGCGUUGUCCGGAUUUACUGGGCGUAAAGAGCGCGCAGGCGGUCGUUCAAGUCGAGUGUGAAAGCCCCCGGCUCAACUGGGGAGGGUCACUCGAUACUGAUCGACUCGAAGGCAGAAGAGGGAAGCGGAAUUCCCGGUGUAGUGGUGAAAUGCGUAGAUAUCGGGAGGAACACCGGUGGCGAAGGCGGCAUCCUGGACCGGCAUUGACGCUGAGGAGCGAAAGCCAGGGGAGCAAAGCGGG